rnacentral:rRNA from 1 species
ACAUGCAAGUCGAACGGCAGCGACGUAGAGAGCUUGCUUCUCUUGGCGGCGAGUGGCGGACGGGUGAGUAAUAUAUCGUGAACGGUGCCCUAAUAGCGGGGGAUAACCUACUCGAAAGAGUGGCUAAUACCGCAUACGCCCUACGGGGGAAAGGGGGGGAUCGCAAGACCUCUCACUAUUGUGAGCGGCCGAUAUCGGAUUAGCUAGUUGGUGGGGUAAAGGCUCACCAAGGCCACGAUCCGUAGCUGGUUUGAGAGGACUGACCAGCCACACUGGGACUGAGACACGGCCCAGACUCCUACGGGAGGCAGCAGUGGGGAAUUUUGGACAAUGGGGGAAACCCUGAUCCAUNCCAUCCCGCGUGUAUGAUGAAAGCCUUCAGGGUUGUAAAGUACUUUUGGCUCUAGAAGAAAAGGUAUCUCCUAUUACGAUGUACUGCUGACGGUAUCUGCAGAAUAAGCACCGGCUAACUACGUGCCAGCAGCCGCGGUAAUACGUAGGGUGCAAGCGUUAAUCGGAAUUACUGGGCGUAAAGCGUGUGUAGGCGGUUCGGAAAGAUUCAUGUGAAAUCCCAUGGCUCAACCUUGGAACUGCAUUUUUAACUGCCGAGCUCUGAGUAUGUCUGAGGGGGGUAGAAUUCCACGUGUAUCAGUGUAAAUGCGUAGAUAUGUGGAGGAAUACCGAUGGCGAAGGCWGNCCCCCUGGGAUAAUACUGACGCUCAUACACGCAAAGCGUGGGGAGCAAACAGGAUUAAAUACCCUGGUAUUCCACGCCCUAAACGAUGUCAACUAACUAUUGGGGCCGUUAGACCUUAUUAGCGCAUCUAACGCGUGAAUUUGACCGCCUGGGGAGUACCGUCGCAAGAUUAAAACUCAAAGGAAUUGACGGGGACCCGCACAAGCGGUGGAUGAUGUGGAUUAAUUCGAUGCAACGCGAAAAACCUUACCUACCCUUGACAUGUCUGGAAAGCCGAAGAGAUUUGGCCGUGCUCGCAAGAGAACCGGAACACAGGUGCUGCAUGGCUGUCGUCAGCUCGUGUCGUGAGAUGUUGGGUUAAGUCCCGCAACGAGCGCAACCCUUGUCAUUAGUUGCUACGCAAGAGCACUCUAAUGAGACUGCCGGUGACAAACCGGAGGAAGGUGGGGAUGACGUCAAGUCCUCAUGGCCCUUAUGGGUAGGGCUUCACACGUCAUACAAUGGUCGGGACAGAGGGUCGCCAACCCGCGAGGGGGAGCCAAUCUCAGAAACCCGAUCGUAGUCCGGAUCGCAGUCUGCAACUCGACUGCGUGAAGUCGGAAUCGCUAGUAAUCGCGGAUCAGAAUGUCGCGGUGAAUACGUUCCCGGGUCUUGUACACACCGCCCGUCACACCAUGGGAGUGGGUUUCACCAGAAGUAGGUAGCCUAACCCGUAAGGAG